rnacentral:lncRNA from 1 species
GAAAAGUCAUAAUGCACAGUUAGAGUAAUAAAAUAUUUAGUAAGAAACUAAAAAUAACAAGGUACACUACUAGCACUAGUAAAAUUGAUGUCAAUUGACUAUGUUCAAACUUGUUCAAUCUCAAAAGUAAGUUGCAGCCAUACUUUAAUACAACGUACACAUAACCAUCAUGAAUAAAAAGCUUAAUAACAUUACAGUAUAUGGUAAGCAAGAUUUAGUGUAACUAAUGUACACCAACUAGUUCUCUAUAAGAAGAACAAAUACCUUGUAACUAGUACAUUUAACAUAUAAUCUCCUGCCAGUUUUUAUAUAUACAUUAUGAAAGUCCCGACUUUCUCAUUGCGAUAAACUUGAAUCUGAACAUGAACAAUGAAGAAGAGUAUUAGCAAUAGAGGGAAGAGAGCUUCAGUUAGUUGGAAAUGAAAUAUAAAGGUGUAAAUAAGGACAUCAAUAAGAGUACAUGAUUUUCAGGCACUAAUAAGAGAUCAUUGAACUUAUUUUAAAACACUUGAUGUAAUUAAACUCGGAUUAAGAGA